GGACGUGAGGGUGAUCUGGCUGUGACAUCCGUCACCCGAUUGAUCGCCAGGGUUGAUUCGACUGAUCUGGCUGGCUAGGCGGGUGUCCCCUUCCUCCCUCACCAUUCCAUGUGCAUCCCUCCCGAAGCUGCGUGCUCGGUCGAAGAGGAUAACCUUCCCCGCUAGAGGAGGACCAGUCUUCAGUCAAGGGUAUUCGAGUAGCUGCACUCCCCUGCUAGAACCUCCAAACAAGCUCUCAAGAUGGAUAUACAAGGACACACACACACACACACACGCACACUGCUGCCUCCCAAAUGAAAGCUCCUGGAAAUUUCUUGAGGCUAUUGCUGUCAGU
rnacentral:snRNA from 1 species